AUUGAACGCUGGCGGCAGGCCUAACACAUGCAAGUCGAACGAGUGGCGGACGGGUGAGUAAUGUCUGGGAACCUGCCCGAUGGAGGGGGAUAACUACUGGAAACGGUAGCUAAUACCGCAUACCAUCGGAUGUGCCCCGAUGGGAUUAGCUAGUAAGUGGGGUAACGGCGCACCUAGGCGACGAUCCCUAGCUGGUCUGAGAGGAUGACCAGCCACACUGGAACUGAGACACGGUCCAGAGGCCUAAGGGAGGCAGCAGUGGGGAAGAUUGCGCAAGGGGCGCAAGCCGGAUGCAGCCAUGCCGCGUGUAUGAAGGAGGCCUUCGGGUUGUAAAGUACUUUCAGCGAGGAGGCGUUACUCGCAGAAGAAGCACCGGCUAACUCCGUGCCAGCAGCCGCGGUAAUAC
rnacentral:rRNA from 1 species